UCAUAGCUUAGUGGUAGAGCAGCUGCCCUGUGUGCAGAAGGUCACAGGUUCUAUCCCUGACCUGGAGAG